GCCUCCUGACCACCAGCAUCUCCCAGAUCCCGAUCCACCCACCCACAACUCCCAUUGCCGCCGGUGUCCCGCUUCCAGGCAUCGUCGCCGGCCUCCUCCUACCACGCGCCGCCGCCGGCCUCCCGCUUCCACGCGUCGUCACCGGGCUCCUCCUUCCAUGCGUCGUUGCCAGACUCCUCCUUCCACGCGCCGCCGCCAGCCUCCCACUUCCACGCGCCGCCGUCGCCUCCCUCUUCCACCCGCCAUCGCAGGCUCCUCGCCUUCCACCCGCCCUCGUGGCAUACUUGCUUCCACCAGCCGCCGUCGGAGCCACCCCAGCACCUCCACCGCCGCCAUGCGCGACGCGUCUCCUCCCAAGGACGCGGUCGCCCCCCCCCCCCCCCCCCACGCCUCCUGCCGGCGACGGGCCCACUCCUCCCGGCGUUGCGCCCCGCCGCCUCAACAUGCAUGCCGUUCACCUCCGCCACCCCAGACCGUUCACCUCUGCCACCACUGCCCGUUCAACGCGGCCUCGACAACCCGGCGCAUCAACACCCUCUGUCAACUCCAAUGCGACUUUGUUUAUCUCAACUUCAAAACAUGUUCAGUUCAGAACUUGACAUGGAGGGUGUACUGAUGAUACCCAGCCGAAUGAAGCUCUAAGCUAUCUCCUCAGUUCUCAGGUUAGAAAACGAUUAGUUCCAUGUGUAUUUAACAGCAUGUCCAUGUAUAUUUAACACCAAGUCCAUGUAUUACUACAUGAGAAGUACUGCUAGUGAGACUUCACUACUCCAUUCCAACAAACGUGUAUAUGCAAUCCUGGUUUGACAAAGUACUCUGCUACUGCUGGUUUCAGUUCCCUCACUGGAUUUGCAGGCUCACGACCAUCCUCUAACACCCCGUCAGUGCCACCGAUUUGAAGGAGCUCCAUGACUAGUAUCUCUGAGUUCUAAUGCUCCUAACGAUCGUUUGGAAUCUUAUAUUCAAUAUCUUGCUGAUAUGGAAUAGUAGAAUGUCGCAAUAUAUACUUGUACAAUUUUUUUUAGUACUGAUGACUAGUACUUACCUUGACAGUACAACGGCAUGCUUCGCUGCCGGUUGCGAGGAUGUGCAACAUAUGUUUAAGCAAGCAUUUAUGUUGUAUUACAAACAAAAAUCUUUCCUCUGUUCCAUAGAAGAUUGUGUGACUUUUUUAAAUACAUUUUAGAAAAGAACUGUACAGACUGUAGCUUAGCAUUUGAUAAUUGUUUGCAACAUGUACAACCCGUGGACGAUUAUGUAAUUGUUUUCAUGCGUUACCAUAUGUCCAACAGUUCAGUAUGUAUUUUAUAAUCA